rnacentral:rRNA from 1 species
CACAUGCAAGUCUCAGCACCCCAGUGAGGACGCCCUUAAUCCCUUAUCCAGGACAAGGAGCUGACAUCAGGCACAGAACACUAGCCCACAACGUCUAGUCCCACCACACCCACAAGGGUUCUCAGCAGUGAUAAAGAUUGCUAAUGAGCGUCAGCUCGAAUCAGUUAGAGAGAAGAGAGCCGGCUAACCCGGUGCCAGCCGCCGCGGCUACACCGUGGGGCUCAAACUGAUAGUUGUCGGCGUUAAGCGUGAUUAAGGUCAUAUUUAAUUAGAGUUAAAUGUAUGUUUAGCUGUGAAAAGCUUACUAACUAGAAAUCCAAACACGAAAGUUACUCUAACUCCCCCUGAAUACACGACGCUGGGGUCACAAACUGGGAUUAGUAGAUACCCC